GAUGAACGCUGGCGGCGUGCCUAAUACAUGCCAGUCGAGCGAACGGACGAGAAGCUUGCUUUUCUGAUGUUAGCGGCGGACGGGUGAGUAACACGUGGAUAACCUACCUAUAAGACUGGGAUAACUUCGGGAAACCGGAGCUAAUACCGGAUAAUAUUUUGAACCGCAUGGUUCAAAAGUGAAAGACGGUCUUGCUGUCACUUAUAGAUGGAUCCGCGCUGCAUUAGCUAGUUGGUAAGGUAACGGCUUACCAAGGCAACGAUGCAUAGCCGACCUGAGAGUGUGAGCGGCCACACUGGAACUGAGACACGGUCCAGACUCCUACGGGAGGCAGCAGUAGGGAUUCUGCCGCAAUGGGCGAAAGCCUGACGGAGCAACGCCGCGUGAGUGAUGAAGAUCUUCGGAUCGUAAAACUCUGUUAUUAGGGAAGAACAUAUGUGUAAGUAACUGUGCACAUCUUGACGGUACCUAAACAGAAAGCCACGGCUAACUACGUG
rnacentral:rRNA from 1 species